GAAAUGCGAUAAGUAAUGUGAAUUGCAGAAUUCAGUGAAUCAUCGAAUCUUUGAACGCACAUUGCGCCCGCCAGUAUUCUGGCGGGCAUGCCUGUUCGAGCGUCAUUACAACCCUCAGGCCCCCGGGCCUGGCGUUGGGGAUCGGCGGAAGCCCCCUGCGGGCACAACGCCGUCCCCCAAAUACAGUGGCGGUCCCGCCGCAGCUUCCAUUGCGUAGUAGCUAACACCUCGCAACUGGAGAGCGGCGAGGCCACGCCGUAAAACACCCAACUUCUGAAUGUUGACCUCGAAUCAGGUAGGAAUACCCGCUGAACUUAAGC
rnacentral:misc_RNA from 1 species